AUUACCAUUUACCACAGUCAGCCAACGAGUUUAUUUUUAUUAUUAUAGAAUUAUUUAGUUACCUAUAAAUACAAUUAUUCAUGAAAUAUCGGUUUUAGUAUUGCAUUAAUUAUUCGCUGUUAACCAAAAGUUCUCCACCAUGCUUCUGAUUGUGGCUGCUGUAACGUUUUUAUUGUUGGCUUUGCUAUAGUUUUUUUUUGUUUAAAAAUUCAUACUUAGCAAUGUGAUAAUAAGAUAACCUAAGCUUAAAAACAGUCAGCUCUACUUCCUUGAUCAAAUUAAGGCCAGUUGAAGCUGAUGAAAAUGAUUUAUCAAUCAGCAUAUAAUAUCAUAAUGUAUUUCCUAAAAUCGCAUCGUGCAGCUGCUAAGAAAAAACCUGGUACCUGGACGAUUUAACCUGACUGAGUAGGGUAGUUUUUGCACUAAAUAAAGUGUAGUAUAUGGAUCCAUAUAAAUAAUUUUUAGUUAAUUGUAGAACAGAAGUUACCAAUAAAAUGUAGUGUUUUUUUUAAA